rnacentral:rRNA from 1 species
AGUGAACGCUGGCGGUAGGCCUAACACAUGCAAGUCGAACGGCAGCACAGUAAGAGCUUGCUCUUACGGGUGGCGAGUGGCGGACGGGUGAGGAAUACAUCGGAAUCUACUUUUUCGUGGGGGAUAACGUAGGGAAACUUACGCUAAUACCGCAUACGACCUACGGGUGAAAGCAGGGGAUCUUCGGACCUUGCGCGAUUGAAUGAGCCGAUGUCGGAUUAGCUAGUUGGCGGGGUAAAGACCCACCAAGGCGACGAUCCGUAGCUGGCCUGAGAGGAUGAUCAGCCACACUGGAACUGAGACACGGUCCAGACUCCUACGGGAGGCAGCAGUGGGGAAUAUUGGACAAUGGGCGCAAGCCUGAUCCAGCCAUACCGCGUGGGUGAAGAAGGCCUUCGGGUUGUAAAGCCCUUUUGUUGGGAAAGAAAAGCAGCAGGUUAAUACCCCGCUGUUCUGACGGUACCCAAAGAAUAAGCACCGGCUAACUUCGUG